CGGCAGACAGCUGGGAUUUACAAGGAGAAGCGAACACAUCAAAGUACCCCGGUGACGACACCGGCCACGAGAGCGCAGCUUGAGCGCGCUCUGGCAGCUUGAAAGGCGUCCUCGUGGCAGCUCGCCUCCGUUUAAUCUUUGCAAUGAAUUCAUCUCGCCCUCCGACUCGGCCACCGAAAGGCUGCUGCGGUUUUCUAGCCUCUCUUCUCUCCUUUAGACAUGGGAUCACGUCCCUGGAGAGCAGUUUCCAAACGCGGCUGCUCUAACGAAACGCCCAGAAUCUACGUCUGGAAGCUGAAAAAUCACAGCGCUCGCGGUCUCUCCAGGUUGCACGCGUCCUGCCGCAACCCAGAGAGCCCGUUUUCGCCCUCGGGAACCCGCGUACGGCCAGGUAUGCUGCCUUCAGGGAUCCAGCGGGAGGCAAUGCUUUACCAGGCAGAAUUUGCUCCUCCUCGCUUUACAAAUUGCGUAUACGUUUUACAGCUAUGCGGUACAACCGUGAUCUUUCAGCAGGCAGCGCCUCUGCCGAAAGCCUGCCGCGCCAAAGGGGCUUCACGGGAACUGCGGCAGCCCGCGGGAAGCCUGGGUCCCGCGAUGAAAAAUUAGCCCU
rnacentral:lncRNA from 1 species